CCCUUAGAUGUUCGGAGCUGCACGCGCGCUACACUGAAGGAAGCAGCGUGUUAGAGCACCUGGCUUGAAAGAGCUGGGUAAUCCGGUGAAUGUCCUUCGUGAUUGGGAUAGGGACUUGUAAUUAUUUCCCUUGAACGAGGAAUACCUAGUAAGUGCGAGUCAUCAGCUUGCGCUGACUACGUCCCUGCCCUUUGUACACACCGCCCGUCGCUCCUACCGAUUGAGUGCUCAGGUGAAUAAUUCGGACUGCAGCAAUGUUUGGAUCCCGAACGUUGCAGCGGAAAGUUUAGUGAACCUUAUCACUUAGAGGAAGGAGAAGUCGUAACA
rnacentral:rRNA from 1 species